UACGUAGGGUGCGAGCGUUGUCCGGAAUUACUGGGCGUAAAGAGCUCGUAGGUGGUUUGUCGCGUCGUCUGUGAAAUUCCGGGGCUUAACUUCGGGCGUGCAGGCGAUACGGGCAAUACUUGAGUGUUGUAGGGGAGACUGGAAUUCCUGGUGUAGCGGUGGAAUGCGCAGAUAUCAGGAGGAACACCGAUGGCGAAGGCAGGUCUCUGGGCAGUAACUGACGCUGAGGAGCGAAAGCAUGGGUAGCGAACAGGAUUAGAUA
rnacentral:rRNA from 1 species